UAAUACGGAGGGUGCAAGCGUUGUUCGGAAUCACUGGGCGUAAAGGGCGUGUAGGCGGUCCGCUAAGUCUGAUGUGAAAGCCCGGGGCUCACCCCCGGAAGGGCAUUGGAAACUGGCGGACUCGAGUCCCGGAGAGGAAGGUGGAAUUCCUGGUGUAGCGGUGAAAUGCGUAGAUAUCAGGAGGAAUACCGGUGGCGAAGGCGGCCUUCUGGACGGUGACUGACG
rnacentral:rRNA from 1 species